AUGAGGUGCGAUCCUGUCGGGAGCGUGACGAGCCUUACUUCACGUCUUUUGAGAUGUCUAUGUCGUUUACUUUCGCAGCAGGGUAGCACUGGCUGAUCCGCAGGCCUUGUUUACAUUUACUCAUCCGAAUAGAGAAAUGCCAAUUGACAACAGCCGUUAUGAAGUGCGGCAGUUUCCUAUUAAAUGCGAUGCUAUGCUACACGGGUUUGCCGGCUAUUUUGAAACGGUCCUCUACAAAGAUGUGAUGCUCUCGAUCAACCCUGCAACACACUCGCCUGGAAUGUUCAGUUGGUUUCCAGUUCUUUUCCCUAUCUAGAAUCCCAUCAGUCUAAAGAAGGGAAACGUUCUCGCGAUUCAUUUUUGGCGUUGCGUCGAUCGCAUCCACGUCUUGUACGAAUGGUGCGUGACAAAACCUCUUGGCUGUGCCAUUCACAAUCCGUUGGGUCGGUCGCACAAUAUUGGCCUCUAAAUGUAACUUAAUAACUAAGCAUUGUUGUAAUCCUGACUCCACUCGUGUC